AACAUCAGUGAUUCUUAGAAUUAUCAGUGAUUAAUUUAAAGUUAAAUGAGGAAAACUCCGCUUGAAAACAAAGCAAAUUGUAUGAAAAAUGCUUAAAACGCACCGUAUGGUCAAUGAAAGAAUCACACAUACCAUAAGCAGAUUUAGGCUUAAUGUUCGAUUUGACAGAAGCGAAACAAAAACAUCUGAUGAAGUCUCACUUUGCUGUGGAAGUGCGUGUUUUUCUUCGAGAUUUUCUUGAAAAAUGUUGUAAUCGUUUUAAUAUCACAAUUUUCUUGUCAACUUGUUCAGUGGAAUCUCUGGAUGGGUCAAAAUAUCCAGAGCGUCGUGCACAGUGUGUCCCAAAACAGUCUGGAAUUCACAGAGUUGGUAGUCAAUGAUUUUGACUGAUAUUCCACGAACCUGCAGAGGAGGCAAUCUUUGUGAACUUUUCUUCGCCCACAAUUCCACCCCCUUCUAGCGAAAGAUUUUCACGAACCCAGGAAAAACGGCCUAGGCUCCCAAGGUUGUCCGGAAAUGUGAGAUGUGGGAUUAGCUAUAAGAAUAUAUGACCAUGGAUGAUAUUUAUUUAGUAACUUGGAAAAAAAUCAACAUUUACGAACCUGCGACGUUACGAAGGUGCAAAACCUUCCCCUAUAAAUUUUUACGAACUUGUUUGUGGGUUAUACGAUUCACGAGCAUUUCGUAACUCCCCCAUAGGAAGUCACAAACAUUUACGAACAUUUUUACAAAAUAUUUUUUUCUGUGUACAGUAGAGUCUCUCAAAUCUGAAUCUCUCAAAUUCGAACGCCGUUUGGAUUCAAAAUGUCAAUUGUGAGGUUAUGUUAGAAAGUUCGUAUUCUUGGUGAAUGAAAAUCAUAUUUAUGUGCUUCUUCCUGAAUGUUUACAUACAUUAUGGUCGUGUAAAAUGAAAAUGAAGUAUGUUACCACUAAGACUUGCGAGAAAGUAUGGGAAUUUGAUUCAAAGUACAAUUUAAUCUCACACAAAUUUCGUUAGUUUUGAAAAAAUCGUUCGAAUUUGGGAGGUAAGAAA